rnacentral:lncRNA from 1 species
AAAUUGAAUUGAACCAAAUUCAAUUGAGUGAAUAGAAUAAAAAAAAAAAUAUUAGAAUCGAAUCGAUCUAGGCUUCAAUGAAUCAAAUUGAUUCCUGGAAAUUAUUGGAGAUAUCCAGCCUUAAUACGGAUUCAUUGAUGUGUCUUUACAGAAUGUAACCCUGCAGCUGCUUGAAGGCGCAGAUCUCAAAUCCCAGAUGACCCCAGUUUAAUGAAGAAGAAGCAAGAGAGCAUGAAGACAGACAAAAAAAUCCCAAGAAAGUGUCUACAAAUAGACAAAGAGAUGUUAAAGAGAGAGAAACAGUAGAAACUGUGAAUGUAGCUGAGUUAAGGUCUAACAAAGUCAGUGAGUCUGAUGGUAUUCAGGAAGCUACCACCACACAGAACAAGACUGAAGUGUCUCCUGAUUUUCAUGCAAGCACUAAGGUAGAACCAGCAGAACCAGAGGUGGCAGCAGAGUCCAACGAGGAGCCAGAGCAGAACUCUGCUGCUGACUCCACCACAGAACCAGUGGAGCCGGAUGACGGGCCAGAAGAGGCUCCACAGGUUGACAAGCAGGAAAACAAUUCUUUAGCUGGAGUUGAGGCUGGAGCAGAAAGUCCAGGAGAAACAAAGACUUCUCAGAGAACUUUGGAACCUCCAGUCAACCCUCCUCCACCACCAUCUGCUCUCCAGAACAGCUCCACAGACCACACCGAUGUUGCUGAGGGAGUCCAUGAACACGAUGAAGAGCGGGAACUUAAAGCAGACAGAACUUCUGCCAAACCCACGGCUGAAGAGGAGGAGGAGGAGGAAAUGGUAAAGAAAGAUUCGUAGAUAAACAUGUUAUUCAGCUUCCUUUCUGUUCACUUCUAAAUUUUGGCAGACUGCUCACAAUGUUUUUGUGCAUCUUCUUGUAUUUGUCUAGAGCUUGAAAGGAUGUCCCCCACCUGCUCCCUUAUUUGGAGACGAAGAAGAUGAUGAUCUGGACUGGCUAAAUUGACAAAAAGAAGCGUCUAUGUUUGAUUUUAUCUUCUUUUUUACAGAAAAAGGCUUUAACCCAGUUUGCCUUUUAGGUCAGGUGAUGAGGGAUGAGGCCAGUUCAAGUGAAGGACUGGCAGUGGUUCCAUCAUUCAGCCACAUCAGACAGUUAAAGGCAGGAUUUACAUAAUCAAAUACCUUUACUUACAAUUUGAUUUAAUGUUGAGAGUUGAGCUCAAAUUAAAUUUGGAGUCUUAAGAUUCCAUAUUUUUGUAAAUGAAUCUGUAGCAGGUUGUUAAAUCAGCAGGAAUAAUGUUGCCUUCAAAUCACACAUUUUUAGAAAAAAAAUUGUUCACAUUUCCAACAUGAAUCUCUUUCAAAAUAAUUUAAAAAUGUGUAUAAGUGUAGAAGCUGUUUUUUGUGUUCUUAUUUCUAAAACUUUACUACUUGUGAUAAGUAUUUUCCUCUGACUUAUCAUUAAAAUAUUUUAAUUAAAAGUACGAAACACAUCCUCUGUCCUCUCUUUGUGUGAUGUUCUACCUAAUCUAUCUGGAAACACCUUGAAGGUGCAGCUUGGACUCAUCCUCAGAGAAGAAUCCGGGGUCAGAGGUUGUCUGGUGUUGGGAACCGGAGGUGAUCAGGCUGCAGUUUGUGUUUGAACAACCUGAGGCUGUUCCAGCAAUAAAUGUCUUCUAUUAAUAUAAUAGCAACCUUCUGAUCCUAAAAGCUUGAAGGCAAGUUUAUUAGUAUAGCAGAUUUCAUGUACAGAGACAAUUA